AACGAACGCUGGCGGCAGGCCUAACACAUGCAAGUCGAGCGAGCCCUUCGGGGUGAGCGGCGGACGGGUGAGUAACGCGUGGGAACGUGCCCUUCUCUGCGGAUUAGCUUCGGGAAACUGAGAGUAAUAACGCAUACGCCCCUUGGGGGAAAGGGUUAUCGGUGAAGGAUCGGCCCGCGUUGGAUUAGGUAGUUGGUGGGGUAAUGGCCCACCAAGCCGACGAUCCAUAGCUGGUUUGAGAGGAUGAUCAGCCACACUGGGACUGGGACACGGCCCAGACUCCUACGGGAGGCAGCAGUGGGGAAUCUUAGACAAUGGGGGCAACCCUGAUCUAGCCAUGCCGCGUGAGUGAUGAAGGCCUUAGGGUUGUAAAGCUCUUUCAGCUGGGAAGAUAAUGACGGUACCAGCAGAAGAAGCCCCGGCUAACUCCGUG
rnacentral:rRNA from 1 species